rnacentral:rRNA from 1 species
AUUGAACGCUGGCGGCAGGACUACCACAUGCAAAUCGAACGAGUGGCGGACGGGUGAGUAAUGUCUGUGAAACUGGCUGAUGGAGGGGGAUAACUACUUGAAACGGUAGCUAAUACCGCCUAACAUCAGAUUUGCCAAGAUGGGAUUAGCUUUUUGGUGGGGUUACGGGUCAACAAGGCGAGGUUCCCUAGCUGGCCUGAGAGGAUGACCAGCACCACUGUAACUGAGACACUGUCCAGCCUCCUACGUGAGGCAGUGUUUGGGAUGAUUGCACAAUGGGCGCAAGCCUUAUGCAGCCAUGCCGCGUGUAUUAAGAAGGCCUUCGGGUUGUAAAGUACUUUCAGCGGGGAGGCGUUACCCGCAGAAGAAGCACCGGCUAACUCCGUGCCAGCAGCCGCGGUAAUAC